rnacentral:rRNA from 1 species
GACGAACGCUGGCGGCGUGCUUAACACAUGCAAGUCGAACGAAGUGGCGAACGGGUGAGUAAUACGUGGGUAACUUGCCCUCCUUUUUGGGAUAAACCUUGGAAACGGGGUCUAAUACCGAAUAAAGGGGGAUGGGCUCACGGCCUAUCAGCUUGUUGGUGGGGUGAGGGCCUACCAAGGCGGUGACGGGUAGCCGGCCUGAGAGGGUGACCGGCCACAUGUGGACGGAGAGACGGCCCAGACUCCGACGGGAGGAGACUGUUGCGGAUAGUGCACAAUGGGCCAAAGCCUGAUGCAGGGACGUCGCGUGGGGGAUGAAGGCGUGCGGGACGUAAACCUCUGUCGAUAGCGAACGGGUAGGUGGAGAAGAAGCGCCGGCUAACUACGUGCCAGAGGCCGCGGUAAUUC